UGCCGCGUCCUCGCUGGCUCACUGGGCGGCGGUGGAGCUUGUGUGAGUCGCUGAGGUUUCUACUGGCUCGGAAUUCGACUAGUGUAUGCCUGGCUGGAUCGUAAGGCCGGCGUCUGCGAGGACGCGGCGUGGAGGGGAACGGCAGCCGGAGACCGGCUGGGCACCCCUUUCGGAAGCUGGACGGUCCCGGCUUCGCAGGUGUCGCCUCUCGGCCAGCGGCGGGGAUCAUGGCUUCGCUGGCGGACCGAGUACGGGGCAACGGGCGAAUAGCUGCUGGGCUCCUGUUUAAUCUGCUAGUGUCCAUUUGCAUCGUGUUUCUCAAUAAAUGGAUCUAUGUGCAUCACGGCUUUCCCAACAUAAGCCUGACCCUGGUGCACUUCAUGGUUACUUGGCUGGGCUUGUACAUCUGCCAGAAGCUGGACAUCUUUGCUCCCAAAACUCUGCCUCCCACCAAACUCCUCCUCCUCGCCCUCAGCUUCUGUGGCUUUGUGGUCUUCACCAACCUCUCUCUGCAGAACAACACCAUAGGUACCUACCAGCUGGCCAAGGCCAUGACAACGCCGGUGAUCAUAGCCAUCCAGACCUUCUGCUACCAGAAAAGCUUCUCCACAAGGAUAAAGCUCACGCUGAUUCCUAUAACUUUAGGUGUAAUCCUAAAUUCUUAUUACGAUGUGAAGUUUAAUUUCCUUGGAAUGGUGUUUGCUGCUCUUGGUGUUUUAGUUACAUCCCUUUAUCAAGUGUGGGUAGGAGCCAAACAGCAUGAAUUACAAGUAAAUUCAAUGCAGCUGCUGUACUACCAGGCUCCAAUGUCAUCUGCCAUGUUGCUGGUUGUUGUGCCCUUCUUUGAGCCAGUGUUUGGAGAGGGAGGAAUAUUUGGUCCCUGGUCACCUUCUGCUUUGCUUAUGGUGCUGCUAUCUGGAGUAAUAGCUUUCAUGGUGAACUUAUCCAUUUAUUGGAUCAUUGGGAACACUUCACCAGUCACCUACAACAUGUUUGGACACUUCAAGUUCUGCAUUACAUUAUGUGGAGGAUAUGUUUUAUUUAAAGAUCCACUAUCAAUUAAUCAGGGUCUUGGCAUUUUAUGUACAUUAUUUGGCAUUCUUGCCUAUACCCACUUUAAACUCAGUGAACAGGAGGGAAGUAAAAGUAAACUGGUACAACGUCCUUAAGAUUUUGUGGAGAAAAGAAAACCGCCCCCAAGAAGACAAAGAACACUCAAAGUGUGGAAGUUACUUUCAAAAAAGAAAAAAAGAAUUACAGUGCAAAAUUCAUGGAGUGGUUUACAAAAAGCAAUACAAAUUUUAUUCAUCGGGCAAUGCCAGUCUAUUCAACCUCCAGAUGUGCAGAUGCCAGUGAAGCCAAAUUCCACCUCCCUUGUAAAAUAACAUGAAGGACAGAUCUUUCUUUGUGUAAGCAAACUCUCACAUGUUUCAUUUCUUUUUAGACAAAAUAUGUUUUUCAUGGUGGUAGUGGGGAUCAAACCCAGGGCUUCAAGCCCAGCUUAGCGGUAAGCAUUCUACCACUGAAAUGUACCCCAGCAUCCCUAGUCCUUUCUUGUUUCAGUUCUUAAGGUACUUUUCAAAUCUUACAGUAUUUAAAUUAUGGAAGCCUUAAAAUUUAUUUCAAAGGAACAGCAUUGAUCAAGCACCCCACAUUCAUUCCAUAAAUAAAUAGUUGGUGGGUAGAUGAAUAUGCAAGAAAUUACCAUUUCCCAUUGUUUAUUUAAGAGCAGAUUACAUUAAUUAGAAAGAUUUUGUUUGAAUCUUUUAAUACCUAUUUUUAUGUGCAUUUUUUAUUCAUAGAUUGUAUUUUAAGAAAGUAUGUGACAGAAACAAAGUAUGUAAAAUAAUGUGACUUGUCAUUUAAUUUCUUUAGAAGACAUGAUUUCUUUUGAUUUUUCAAAGUUGCUUUAUAGUUCAUAUGAAAUUAUUACUUGAUGGAUUAUUUAUGGGUAUUUGGAGAAUAUUUUUGCUGUGCUAUUUUAAAUUAGAAAACAGCACAUCAGGGGCUGGGAUUGUGGCUCAGUGGUAGAGUGCUCGCCUACCAUGCAUGAGGCACUGGGUUUCAUCCUUACAACACCCAUAAAUGUAAAAUAAAGAUAUUGUUUUCACUUUAAACUAAAAAAUAAAUACUAAAAAAGAAAAAGAAAACAACACAUCAACCAAACCAUACUGAUCUACAUUUUUCUAUUUAAAUAAAAAUAUCUCAUAAGUACUAUGCAUUCCGCAAGAACAAAUAUGCAUAUUUAUUUAAUCAGCUAGCACUGUGGAUUUGUUUUUCUUUUUAGAGGAGGAAAGUUUAUUUGGGGCUCAUAGUUUCAGAGAUCUCAGUUCAUAAAUGGCCAACUCCAUUGCUCUUGGCCUGAGGUUAGACAAAACAUCAUGGCAGAAGGGCAUGAUCCAGGAAAGCAGCUCAGGAUACAGCAAAAAGAAAGCAAAGAGAGCGAGCUCCACUCACCAGGGACAUAAUAUAAAUCCCAAAGGCACAUCCCAGUGACCUACCUUCUUCAGCCACUCCCCACAUUACCUACAGUUAAUGCCCAGUUAAUAAAUUAUCAGUGGAUUAAUGCACUGAAUAGUUUUAAAUUAUUAGAACUUAAUCAUUUUACCUCUCAACUUUUUUGCAUUGUUUCACACAUGAGCUUUUGGGGAACACUUAAUAUCUAAACCAUAACAUUCUGCCCCUGACUGCCAGAUGCUCAUGCCCAUCUCAAAAUGCACAAACACAUUUACUCCAUUUUAAAAAGUUCUCGUAGUUUUACCAGUUCCAGGAUUGCCCAAAAGUCCAAGUCCAAAAUCUCAUCUGAGACUCAAGGCAAACUCUUAAAUAUUUUCCCCUAUGAAACUCAAAAAGUGAGUUACAUGUAUCCAAUAUAUAAAGGCACCGAGUAAACUUUUCUAUUGCAUAAAGAAAAAAUAGGGGCAUAGAAGAGAUGGGACCAAAGCAAGACCAAAACUCAGCUGAGCAACUAUAGUUCCACAUUCAGCAUCUGGGGCACAUGCAUCAUGAUGUUCUCUCUGAAGGGUUUGUAAAGCUCUGUCCGUAUGGGCAUGCUGGUUGCAGCCCAAAUGGCCUCUCUCUUUGCUGGUUUCUACUUGAUUCCUGAAGCUUUCCUCAGUAGACAUCCCAUAAAACUGGCCUCUCUUAAUCUUGGGGUCUCUACUGUGGCUUUGGCUUCCUUCUCACAUCUUCACACCUUGCCCUCUUAAGGGCAGCCCUCAGGCAUUCUGACCAUGCUACACUUUGCCUGUCUUUCCAGGCCUUCCUGCUGAGAGCCACGGCCAAGUAGGAAUGACUGCCAGAAGGGAGUGGUUGAGAGGUGACGCCAGGGAGCCAUUGAGAUGAUGAUGGUUAUGUUAAGCUGUGUAUUCAAUUGUAUAUUAGACCCCUGCUGUCCACCUCUGGUGCCCACUACUUUGGAGUUCUCGAGGGGAUUCCUGGAGAGUUGGCGUUGGUUGGGGGAGUGCCGGAGGAGGGAUUUCCGGUUGGUGGUUCCUGGAAGGGCCUAGUGGGUGGCGAUCGCGGGAGUUCGGAUAAUAAAGGAGUUCCUAUUUUGAACCUACAAGUGCCUCAUGGUGGCUCGGUUAUUUUGUGCCCAGCCAGACUGCGGCACCUUCCUUUGAAAUCUGGGUGGAAACCUCCAUGACUGACUAGUAUCCUGCAUACCUGCAGAAACAGUACCAUGUGGUUGCCACUAAGGUCAGUGUGUCACCAUCUCAAGCAGUAGCCAAACCACCUCUAGGGACACACCACUGAUGAACCUCACCCCCUCCAGGCAAGCAGAGAUCCCACUGGUCUCUUCUCAAAGGAAUUUUUGCUUUUAUACCCUUUAACAUGAGAUUGAUUGCCAAUUCUUGAGAUUGCCUCUAGCCAUCUUUCCUCUUGUCUUUGGGUAAAGUAUUUAUCAUCUCUUUAGGGGCUAUAAUGUCUUUAACAACUAUAACCUCCUUAACCUUAGUUUUACUCACACUUUUAUAGCCAAACAAAGUUUUUCAAAUCUUUCAAUCUGCUUUCUGCUCCUCAUUACCACAGUAAACUUAGCUAAAAGCUGCCAGUAAUAUCCAUGCCACUGCCUGAAUGCUAUGCUGUCUUGAAAUUUCUUCUGCUGAAUUAAUUAAUCCAUCAUCUUCAAAUUUAGCCUCCCCAAAAGUCUCAGGACAUGAGCAAAAUGUAGACAACUUCUUUGCCAGAACAUUAUAUGAAUGACCUCUAGUCAAAUUUCCAAUAGAGUCUUCCUUGCCCUCUGAAACCUCAUGAGCCCACUCUUUUCAGUCCACAGUCCUAUUGGCAUUGUAGUCUUUUUGAACGCCCAGAAUCACCCCAUUAAUCUCUGCUUACAAUAUUAUAAAGUUUUUCCAACUUGUAUUUCUGAACACUUCAAAAGUCUUCCUCUGGCAAACCAGCUCCAAAAGAUUCUGAAUCACAUGGUCAGGUUAAUCACAGCAAUGACUCCACUUCUCAGUAACAAUUUUUGUUUUAGUAAGUUUUUACACUGCUGUGACCAAGAGAUCUGACAAGAAUAAUUUUAGAGGAGGAAAAGUUUAUUUAAGAGGAGGAAAGUUUGAGAGCGUUUCAGAGGUCUCAGUCAAUGGAUGACUGACUCCAUUCCUCUGGGCCUGAAGUGAAAUGGAACCUCAUGGCAGAGGGUGUAGAAAAGGAAAACCGCUCAGGACCAGGACGUGGAAGUCAGGAAGUAGGACAACUAUGGAUUUCUAAAGAAAGAAAAAAGUUUCCUUUUAAAAUCAAACGAUCUGUAUCAACCAUAUGUCUUCAUUUCCUUUUUCCUGUUUGUCUUGCUCACCCCCAGGUCAGUUUCCUGUUUUCUCAGUUCCUCUUUUCUCAGUUUAAAAUCAGUUUGUGCAAGAGGAAUAUGUGGGCCCUAAUAGAAGAUCUGAGAGGCCAAAAUCAAUCAGUCUAGUGAGGAGAUCUACUGGAAUCUCCACGACUAGGCCUUCCUAUAGGAAUGAUCAGGUUCUCUAAGCUUUUCUCUGCCUGGAGUUUGAAAGAAAGACCAACCCUUUGAAUUGAAGUUGUUAGAGAAUUAUGAAGGAACUCAUUGGCCUGUUAGAAUCAAAUUAUUUCAUACAACUUAGGAAUACCAAAAAACACAAGUUAUCAUAAGACAGUUAGCUUCCCAGCCAAAUGUAUAUCCCUAUUCUUUUUUUUUUUUUAAUAUUUAUUUUUUUAGUUCUCGGAGGACAUAACAUCUUUGUAUGUGGUGCUGAGGAUCGAACCUGGGCCGCACGCAUGCCAGGCGAGCAAGCUACCGCUUGAGCCACAUCCCCAGCCCCCUAUUCUUUUUGUUUGUUUGUUUGUUUACUUAUUUAUUUAUUUUAGUUGUAGAUGGACAAAUACCUUUACUUUUUAGUUUAUUUUUAUGUGAUGCUGAGGAUCCUCACAAGUGCUAGGUGAGUGCUCUACCACUGAGCUACAACCUCAGCCCCUAUUUGUUUAUUUUUAUGUGGUGCUGAAGAUCGAACCCAGCGCCUCACAUGUGCAAGGCAAGUGCUCUACACUGAGCUACAGCCCCAGCUCCACAUCCCCAUUCUUUGGUCAUUCUAGAGACUAGAAAUGCUAGAUUAUAAUUUUACAUUUUUGCUUCAUAAUUAAGGGUGGUCAUGUGACAUCUCACAAGUGGAACAUUAUUGGAAUAUUAUCUGGUGAGGAUUUCUGGGGAAACUUUCUUGAUAAAAGGAGUGAAUGUGACUGGCACUGCCCAUUCCUGCCUCUUUCCAGAUUUGAAUUUUUCUGAUUGAGGUGAAGGAGAGGUGAAGAGAACCUAAUUAGCAGUUUUACCAUGCUGGACUAUUAAACAGUGCCAUCUGAUGCCCAUCUAAAUUCCUAUUCUAGAUGAAAAGUAAAACCUAGUUAGUUAAGGCACUUAGUGUUUAAGGCACUUUAGUGUUUCAUUACUUAUAGCUGCAGGCAUGCCAAUGAACACCUGGGGGUAAAAAAGGGUGAUCAUGGAGGACUUGCUCUGGUCUGGUCAACUGUAGAACCCAGGAAGCAACAACUAAAUGUAGCUGGUUGAAAGCAAGAGUAGUGGCUAGCCUGACCCCAGCCAUUCUCCCAUUUCAUAGAGCAUCAGACUCUGGGUGAUGGGAUGGAUAGGAGAAAGACCAGUCUGGUGGACACUGACUCAGAGGUAUAAUCUAAACCUGGCACUAUUGCUGGCUUUGGGUGAACAGAUGGGUUCCAACCAGGAGAAACUUUCCAACCAAGUGGGAGGUGGCUUACUUAUCCUCCACCAUCUUUGUACUCCCUGAUUUGGGUCAUCCUGAAUUACCCAGUACUCCCCUUUUCCCAGCAAUAGCCUUGCACCUAUUCAGUCACCACCUCACCCUGGUAGUUCCCUAGUUUUGCUUCAGGUUGAGUGGUAGACCAAGAAAGCACUACCAACAAUGAUUGAAAGGUCAUACUUAAGUCUUGGAAGAGGCCCUCAGGGUAGAAGUUCUGCAUAUAUUCAACAUGAGGAGAACCCCACUCUAAUAACAUUCCAGGACUUCCAUAAAAUCACAGGAGGAUAAAGCUGCACUAGAAGGCCUCCCAGUGCCCACCGUAGGGAUCCAGUUUGACCUGACCACAGCCAUCUUGAGUUGUGACAGCCAUGAUUCCUCCUGAGUAACCUGGGCCUGUUUUUCUCCCACAUAGUUUCUCAGAAUACUUCAAAUAAACAAAACCAUCACAGUGGUAUGUGGAACUUUAUGACUGGACCCUCAUGCCUUUAGCACCAGGAAUGUGCCUGAGGCCUUUGAUGUUAACUUAAGAUAAACCAGUUAAAUUUCAGCUUGGUUAAAAGUCACUUUUGUCCUGACCCUCUGACCCAGAUUGCAGGAUCCACUGGUCUUACUGCCACCCUUGACCAUGCUUCUGUCAGUGAGUCCCCAAUAAAUUGCAUUCUGUACAUUCUGUACAAGGGUCUGUCUGAGUCUUUCUUUAGUCUCAUGGUAUCUUGUGACUGGCUCUCAUACAAUGGGACCAGGUUCUUCUAGAAUACCCACAUAUCACAGGACUAUGGACAUGGGUGAGAAACUAUUAUCAUGGAGUGAGUAAGUGGAGAACUCUUCAGCCAAAUAUGAGAUCAUUCUUUUGAAUUUUUUUUUUUUUUUUUGUGUGUGUGUGUGUGUGUGGUACUGGGUAUUGAAUCCAGGGCCCAGGGAUAACUUUACCAUUGAGCUACUUCUUCAGAUUUUUUUUAUUUUAUUUUUUUUUUUAUUUUGAGAUACUGUCUCACUAAGUGGCCCAGGCUGACCUCAAAUUUUCAAUCCUUCUGCCUCAGCCUCCCAAGUUGCUGGGACUAUAGGCAUAUACCCCUGCAUCAGGCUUCUUCUUAAAUAUUUUUUUUUUCUUGGUGGUGCUGGGGAUUGAACCCAGGGGCCUUGUGCAUGUGAGGCAAGCUCUCUACCAACUGAGCUAUAUCCUCAGCCCCCUUCUUAAAUCUUAAAGAACAUUAUGAGGACAUUCAGUAUUUGUACUCAUACCACACAAAAGCUCAAUAAUAUCCUGAAAUUCAAGAGAUUUGACUAAGGAAGCCAUAAGCAACAACUUAUAUCCACUCCUUUCACAAUACUGCACCCAUGUGACUCCAGAAAAGUAUGACAGGGCUUGUUUGCCAUCACAGUGUUCUUGAAUAUCUCUGUUCCAUCUGAACAUUUGCCUAUUUCCUAUGUGAAGAUAUACAGUCCAAGUAGGGCUGUCUGAAUUCCCCUACCUAAGGUGUCAGAGAAUCUCAGGAAGUUACAAUGCUUACCUGGAACCUGCUAGAAACAACACUCACUCCAGGAAUGGCCAUCAUAAAAUUUCAUGAACUAUAGAUUAUAUAAUUAAUAAAAUUCCUAUAAGCCAGUACCAUUCAAGAUGUGGCCUGUGCACCAGCAUCAGUCCACAGUUUGUUACCAACUGAAAGUAUAGAAACUGAGAAGAAAUACUAGGAAACUUCUAUAGCAUUUGAACAUAGCUACAACAGCCAAAUAUGAUUAUAUAUUUUACACAAGUAUCACUUUAUAUUCUAUGAAAGAGUUGAAGGUGAAACACGGGUCUUUCUCCACAGAUACUUUAAGAAGGGCUGCCCCAUCCAUGUGGGGAGGUAGCCAGAGUUUUGGCCACAAGGUAAGUAGAUUAGAAGGAGUUGUGUGGUUGACUCACCCUGGUCUUCUUGGUUGCUUGGCUUACAGCAGGUCUUAUGUUAGGAACUCCUAAUUUCUAGACCUUCCCUAGCUCCCUGAAGCCUUGGAGUUUAGUGGAAGAACAACAGGAAUGCACCACACACACAUCUUACAGCUCCACUUGGAGAUACUGCAAAUUCAAAACAUGCUCAACUGAUCUUACUCCUACUUUCAAACCCAUUUAAACCACAUUAUCUUACCACAUGCUCAGAUUAAGUAUCUUCAGGUGGUCAAUGACAUUGUCUUACCCAAUCUAGUAGGAAAUCUGGUUGACUCUACCUUCUAAAUGUCUAGAAUCCCCUCUUGUCCCACCCAUUGCUACUGCAAUGGCCCCUUGAAGGAUCUCCCCACUGUUCCCUUGCUCCCCACAGUAUGUGCUCAGACUUCCAGUUCUCAGCAGCCAGAGUGGUCCCAUUAUGUCCCCCAGUGAAACCCUGCACACGUGCCCCUGUUUUACUCAGAAAGUCAAAUCUUCGCUGUAACCUCAGGACCAGAUAUAUGAUCUGUCUCCUCUGCUCCAGCCAUGCUGGCCCUAGAGCACUGCAGGCAGGUCCCCACCUUAGGGCCACUUGCUCAAGACCUGUCUGGAAGCUCUUCUUCCAGCUGUCCUUCCUUUGGUUACUUCCUUCAAGUCCUUUCUCAAAAGGGGUUCCCCCCCCAGAACUGGGGAUCCAACCCAUGGCCUUAUAUAUGCUAGAAAAGUACUCUACCACUGAGCCACACCCCGAUCCCCCAUCUCUCUCUUUUAAAAUAUUUUUUUAGUUGUAAAUGGACACAAUACCUUUAUUUUAUUCAUUUUUUUUAGUGUGGUGCCAGGGAACCAGAACCCAGUGCCUCACACAUGCUAGACAAGUGUUCUACCACUGAGCCACAAUCCCGCCCCCCCCACCUCUUUUUUUAAUCACAGCUACCUCGCUUUCACUACCAGAACUCUAAAGUCUCCUUCCCCUGCCCUACUUUGUCUUUUUCAUAGAACUUUUACCAUUGUGUAUACCGUGUUAAUUUACACAUAUACACAUAUAGAUUGAUAGUCCACUGCUUAUCACCUCCCAGCAGAAUAUUAGCUUCACAAGGGUAGGAAUCUGUUUUAUUUGUUAAUGUGUCCAAAGCCAGGCACUUAAAUACUGGAUAAAUAAGCAAGUGACUCUCCCUUCAACCAUUUUUAUUAAUUCCCUUGAAUCCUCCAACCCUUACGGUUUACCUUAGAGGAAGGAAGGCAGAAGGAGAGAAGGAGGGAUAAAAGAGCUAGCAUUCAAGGCUAAAGCUGGACAUACCUGUAACAGGAGGCUGAGGCAGGAAGGUCACAAGUUUGAAGCCAGCAUGAAUAAUUUAGAGCCUAUCUGAUUUUUUUUUUUUCAAGUGCUGGGAAUGUUGCUCAGUGGCAGAGUACUUGCCUAGCAUGUGUGAGAUCCUACAUUCGAUCCCUAGUAUAGGGGAGGGAAAAAAAGGCAUCAUUACAUUCAAACAUAACAAUAAUCAUACUCUUUAUUUAUUUUGGUACUGAAGUUUGAACCCAGGGGUGCUUAACCACUAAGCUACAUCUCCAGUUCUUUUCAUUUUUUAUUGUGAGACAGGGUCUUGCUAAGUUGCUGAGAACCUCGCUAAAUUAUAGAGGCUGGCCUGGAAAUUCCAAUCCUCCUGCCUAGAUACUCAACUAUUUUAAAUUCAUAUUAAGUUAACCUAUUUAGAGACAAAGACUUUAUAAGCAAAAACCAUAUUUUUGUAAGAGAUUUUCCUAAAAACAGAAUGGUACAGAAUAAAAGAUACAGAGAAAAACUCACACAGAAACAGUCAUACAAUCCUUGACAAAGUGCCAAAAAUAUACAGUGGAGAAAAGAUAGCCCCUUUAACAAAUGAUACUGGGGAAACCAGAUAUCCAUAUAAAUAAGAAUGAAACUAGAUCCAUAUCUCUCACCCUAUAACAUCAACUCAAAAUGAAUCGAAGAUCUAGGUAUAAUAUCAGAAAUUUUGCAACUAUAAGAAGACACAGGGGAAACCCUUCAACACAUAGGCACAGGCAAGAGCUUCCUGAAUAGGACUCUAAUAGCUCAGGAAAUAAUAGCAAGAAUUGCCCAAUGGAAUGACAUCAAAUUAAAAAGCUUCUGUGCAGCAAAGGAAACAACAGAGAGACAACCUACAGAAUGGGAGAAAAUCUUUGCCAGCUACUCUUCCAAUGAAGGACUAGUAUCCAGAAUAUAUAAAGAAAAAAAAUUAAAAAUACAUAAAAAGAGAAAGAAAAAAACACACACAAAACCCCAAAUCAUUUAAUAAAUGGGCAAAUGAGUGAAAAGACACUACUCAAAGGAAGUACAAAUGGCCAAUAAUCAUAUGAAAAAAAUAUUCAACAUCUUUAGCCAUCAGGAAGAUGAAAAAACUAUACUGAGAUUCCAUCUCACUCCAGUCAGAAUGGCAAUCAUUAAGAACACAAAGAACAGGGCUGGGGUUGUAGCUCAGCGGUAGAGCACUCAUCUAGUAUGAGUGUGAGGCCCUGGGUUUGAUCCUUAGUACCACAUAAAGUAAAAUAAAUGUAUUGUGUCCAACUACAAUUAAAAAAUAAAUAUUUUUUUUUAAAAGAAGAAUACAAAGAACAAUAAAUGCUGGCAAAGAUGUGGGGGAAAAGAGAACAUUUAUACCUGUUGUUGAAAAUGUAAAUGAAGGGGAGGGGGGAUAGUAGAGGAUAGGAAAGGCAGCAGAACACAACAGACAUUAGUAUGGCAAUAUGUAAAUCAAUGGAUGUGUAACUGAUGUAAUUCUGCAAUCUGUAUAUGGGGUAAAAAUGGGAGUUCAUAACCCACUUGAAUCAAAGUGUGAAAUAUGAUAUAUCAAGAAAUUUGUAAUGUUUUGAACAACCAACAAUAAAAAAUUAAAAAAAAAGAAAAUGUAAAUGAGUACAACCACUACAGAAAUCAGUAUGGAGCGUCCUUAAAAAAAAAAAAAAAAACUAAAUAGAACUACCAUAUGAUCCACCAUACCACUCCUUGGCAUAGAAUUAAGAUCCGCAUACUUUAGAGAUACAGGCAUACCAUGUUUAUCACAAUACAAUUCCCAAUAGUUAGGUUAUGGAACCAGGCUAGGUGUCAGUUAACAGAUGCACAGAUAAAGAUACUGUGGCUUUAUUCAUACAUGGAGUUUUAUUCAGCCAUAAAGAAGAAAAAAAUUAUAUCAUUUGUGGGGAAAUGAAUGAAGAGCAUUAUGUGUUUUUUUAAAUUUAUUUUUGAGUUGUAGUUGGACACAAUACCUUUAUUUCACUUAUUUAUUUUUAUGUGGUAUUGAAGAUCGAGCCCAAGGUCUCGCAAGUAUGAGGCAAGUGCUCUACCGCUGAGCCACAAACCCAGCCCAAGAGCAUUAUGUUAAGAAAAGUGAGUCAGACUCAGAAAGAGAAGGAAAAAGAAAGAAAGAGAAAGAGAGAAAACAUCAUGAAAGUAGAAGGGAGCAUCAGGCAUGGUGGCAAACACCUGUAAUCCCAGUGACUUGGAAGGCUGAAACAGGAGGAUUGCAAGUUCAAGGACAGCUUCAAGGAUUUACUGAGACCCUCAGCAAUUUAGGGAGACCUAUGUCAAAACAAAACAAAAAGGGCUGGAGAUGUAGCUCAGUGGUUAAGUACCCCUGGGUUCAAUCCUUGGUGCCAAAAUAAUAAUAGUAAUAAUAAUAAUAAUAAUAAUAAAUAAAGUAUAAGUGGAACUGGGCUUGUGGCUCAGUGGUAGAGCUCUUGCCUAGCAUGUAUGAGGAACUGGGUUUGAUCCUCAGUACCAUAUAAAAAGUAAAUAAAUAAAAUAAAGACAUUGUGUCCAUCUACAACUAAAAAAUUUAAAAAAAAAAGUUUAAGGGAACAAUAGGGUAGAAGAAAGGAAGAAGAAGAAGGGAGGGGUUUAAGGGGAGGUAUUGGGGAGUGAAAUUGAUCAAAAAUAUUAUAAGUGGGUAACAAUAUGCCACAAUGAAACCUACCACUCUAUACAAUUAAUAUGCACCAAUAAAAGUUAUUUAACUGGGCUGGGGAUGUGGCUCAAGCUGUAGCGCGCUCGCCUGGCAUGCAUGUGGCCCGGGUUCCAUCCUCAGCACUACAUACAAAGAUGUUGUGUCUGCCAAAAACUAAAAAAAUAAAUAAAUAUUAAAACUCUCUCUCUCUCUCUCUCUCUCUCUCUCUCUCUCAUAGUUCAGGACAUCUGUUAUUCUAGAUUAGUUACUUUUUUACUUUAAAUUUGUCCUAAAAUUUUGGUUAGAAUCUUAGUGGGACAUGAUGGCUAUCAUAUUUAUAUUAAAGAUUUUUUAAAAAUCAGUAUGCUAUUUUGAGAGCCUUAAUUCCUUUCUAAUUUAGAGAAUUUUCUCCAUCACACAUGGGGUUGAAGGAAUGUAGUUUGCUGCCCUCCAGCCUAUAAAGAGGAGGCUUGUCUUCUCCAAUGUCCACCUUCAAGACAGAGCGUUGAUUCAGAAGGAACAGAUGUGGAUUUUGGGCUAAUGCAGAAUGAAUGCACAGUUGCAAAAUGGCAGCGGGGGGAGGGCAGUGGGGAGGAAAUAGGAGAGCUUGUUUUAACUGUGGUUGUAGCAAAUGUUUUUGGAAAAGAAAACUUUAGGUUGAGUUUAUUAAGAGCAUCAUUUUUUAGGCAUAAAAUUUGCGAUUGUAAUAUAAACUCAUCUUACUUGGGGAUGGAUGCAAUAGUAUAUGUGACAUGGGGAUGAAAAAUCAACCAUUACUCUUGUGAAUUUGACUAAGUAUUAUUAAGGGUAUCUGUAAUAAUACCACUUGCCAAUUAAUUCUUUAUUCGUUCUCUCUCUCUCUCUCUCUCUCUCUCUCUCAAACACCAGGGAUUGAACUCAGGAGUGCUUUACUAUAACCUACAUACCCAGACCUUUUUAUUUUUUAGACAGGGUCUCGCUAAGUUGCUUAGGGCCUUGUUAAAUUGCUGAGCCUCACACUUGAGAUCCCCCUGCCUCAGCCUGCUAAAUCUCUGAGAUUUCAGGCAUGCGCCACCAUGUCCCACAUCAAUAAAUUUUUAAUAUUCUUAUGCUGAAAAUUCUCUAGGUAAGCAAAGAUUCUCUCUAAAAGGAGAAAGGUAAGGGCUUUUAUUAGUGUAAGUAGAAUGUCAUUUUUGCUAAAUAAAACCAUUAUAGUCAUAACAAGAUUUUUUCUAUACUUUGGCUUAUAGCCCAUAGUCACUGUGCUUGGCUAAUAAUAAACAACACUGCUUUGCAGAGAUGUAUCUUUAAUUAGCCUGUUUCUUUUUGACCUGUCUUCUCCUUCUCCCUAGCUUUGAACAGUAUGAAGUCAACCAUGACAAUGACCUCUACUCUUCUUUUAGUCUCUUUCUUAGUCCCCAGAGAGCAGAAAUCUUGUCAGUCCUAGUGGGUAAAACAGUGUCAGACACCUGUUAGACCUUUUUUUUCACUAUCAUCUCUAAGUUUAUAAUUCUCAAAAACAUAUCUUCUGUUCAGUACUCUUGUCUAUGGUUUAUGGUUGUUCUUUCAAGUAAAAAUGGUCCCAGGAGAAAAAGCAGUUUGCUCCUACUUGCAUUUCAUUCCCUAGAGAGCUUUGCCUUGAGAUGAACAUCAUGCACAGCUCCAGGGGCAGGCAUCAGAAGUGCUCUCAUUUUGUGCACUUCGAAUUUUACCAGACAGAAUGCUAAAAACAUGUGUCCUCAAGGGUCAAGACCAAAUAAAAUUGUUUUAACUGCUUCUUCAAGGACAUUCUCACUGAAUCCUAAAUGCAACUGGCUCUUUAAAAAAAAAAAACUGUUGAGUGUUAGAGUCUGUAAACAAGUCUGGAUGGUGCCUGGCAAAAUGCCAGAGGGAGUGGUUUGUGAAGUAACACCAGCGAGCCAUUAAGUGUGGAGAUUCCUUAUUGGUUGACUGAUGUAUCUAGUUUAUGCUAAUUAGAUAAGCUGUGUGGAAUGUAUAAAUACUGCUCCUGUCCUGCAAUAAAUGGCUUCCACUCCUGCUGUA